CCCUGUCCUGCCUGCGGUGGAGCUGGCCCUGCUUCCCUCUGGCGGCACCUCCCACCCAGGACUUGGAAGAACACCCAGUGCAUGCAGCACCGUCACCCUCUGGCUCCCUCCCUGUUCCCGUGGAAACGUUCCCCAGUCCCAUGCCCUGUGACCCACAGAGAGCAGUACCUGCCUGAAGCCACCCUGACCCACGGGAGCCCCGGGACCCCACCCCAACCUGGGCUCCAGGCAGCUCCAUCCAGAGGAGCAGGGAAAACAAGAUGGCAAGGAAGAGACAGAGAGACAGACAGACCUGGUAAGACGGACAGAAACACGGAGCAGGGCCACAGCCUAGAGAAUUCCCAACAGCAGAUGCCACUGAGUCCACUCCACAGGACAUCAGUAAGGUGUCUUUAUGGAAAGGGACCAGAACAAGCAAGGCGGAAAGCACAGGUGGGACAGGACCUUCCCAGGACUUGUGACAGGCCAGGGGGACGGGUGUCAUGAACCUUCAGUGUGACCGUCAUCAGUGAGACACAGUGCUCCACAGGGGCUUAGGCAGCUCACAGUUAUUUGGAAAUUCCAGGCAGGGAUUCUGAGGGACACGGGGCUUCGAGACGCAGGGGACAGCAGACAGAGGGACAUGGACAGACAGAUCUAGACAGAGCUGUGCUCCGUGGAAAGAGGCAGGGCUCCGACGCCCGGAGGCAGAGGGGACAGCACCACAGCGUGAGGAACGCAUUAGAGCCAAAGCACACCAGGGCCCAAGCCCCCGUUACUGCAGUGGCACCUGGGAUCAGAAGCCAGCCAGGGCUCCCAUGCUGGGGACUGCAGACACAGCAGACUCAGCUCCUCCCGAACUUGGCCCAGACACACGUCCCCUCUCAGCAUGAAAAGGCGGCUGCCAAAGCCGGAGGACAGCGUCCCCUGGGAAAGACACUCCAUCUGCAGCCCAGACAAAUUAGGCCUUGGAUGGGCGCCGGCUCCAGGAGCGUCCCAGGGGACUCCGCAGGAACCGCUCAAGCUGCUCCAGCGCAGACCUAUUUGUAUCUGUGUCCCUGGCCGCCCAACCUGUCUCGGUGUCUGCUCCUGGCAAGAAGCUCCGGAAGAUUCAUCGUGGCCCAACAGCUGUUCCUUCUCCCGGGGACUAGAGGCUCACCCACUUCCCUGGCCCUCUCCCGGGAGGCCUUCCCCAAGCACACGUGGGAGUGGACUCCCUCUACCCAGAGGCCUCCCGUGGCUGCCGUUUGCCACGCCACACCGUCCACCUGCGCCCUGGUCCUGGGGGAUCUUCGUGGCCCUGAGUGUGCGCUCUCGCACAUUCACGCGGCCCGUGACUCGGGGUCCCCGUGAGCUCUGGAUCUUUCUUCUGCACUGCUGGAACGUUCUGGCGGAACUCCCUCACCCUGUGACCUGCUCACUUUCAAAAUUCUGCCCAACACACUCUUGACCUGCCACUGGCAGCCUCUGCUCACAUGUCCCACAUGUCCCCAGAGGCUCUCCUGGAGGGCCCUCUGCACCCUGCUGCACUCCGAUUUCCUCUUUGGGGAAAUGGAACUCAAACCUCCAACCCCAGGAGACGGCUCCCUACCCCCACGUCCCCCCAGGACUCCACAGGGACCUGGCAAGCUCACACUGAACCCGCCAUCUCCCCCUCACGCCCUGUGUCCCGGGUCUGAGUCACUGGCACAAGCAGACUCCCAGGUUCCAGUUCAGAGGGUCUAGUCCCCAGGUCCCCCCAGGGUCCCAGAGGUUGUCAAUUCUCCUUCAGAAACCUCUCCCGCGCCUGUCCCUUCUCCCACCGCCACCUGGCAGUAGCCAAAUCACUUGGGUUUUGCCAUCUCCUGCUUGGCCUGUCCCCCAGACUCCUCGCUGGCCUUCCUGCCUGGAGUCGACUCCCUCCCAAUCUGCAGCCCUCUGAAAAGCAGUCCCCGGGGCCUGGCUGGAAAGUCUGUGAGAUCUCYUCCCCUGAGCUUGACCCACCCACCCUUGGGCGCCUACCCCGGGCUCUUCUUGCACACGCUCUGCCAGCCGGGCCCCUUCGCAGCCUGGGGACUUUGUACCAGCAGCUCCCUGUGCCCCAGCUUGGCUCCUGCCUCACUUGGGUCCUGUCUCUGUAU
rnacentral:lncRNA from 1 species